UAUGACGAAGAAGUUCAAAAA
rnacentral:piRNA from 1 species